GUCUAACCUGCCCACUGAAAUUUUAAAUGGCCGCAGUAUUUUGACUGUGCAAAGGUAGCAUAAUCAUUAGUCUUUUAAUUGAAGGCUGGAAUGAAUGGUUGGACGAAAUAUUAACUGUUUCAUUUAAAAUUUUUAUAGAAUUUUAUUUUUUAGUCAAAAAGCUAAAAUAAAUUUAAAAGACGAGAAGACCCUAUAAAUCUUUAUAUUUUUAUUAUUUUAAUUGUUAAGAUUAAUUUUGUUUUAAUAAAUAAAAAUAUUUUAUUGGGGUGAUAUUAAAAUUUAAAAAACUUUUAAUUUUUAAAUACAUUAAUUUAUGAAUAAUUGAUCCAUUAAUAAUGAUUAUAAAAUUAAGUUACUUUAGGGAUAACAGCGUAAUUUUUUUGGAGAGUUCAUAUCGAUAAAAAAGAUUGCGACCUCGAUGUUGGAUUAAGAUAUAAUUUUGGGUGUAGCCGUUCAAAUUUU
rnacentral:rRNA from 1 species